CGUCCGCGAACUCCCGUCACCUCGCUGUCACUCCGCACGGGGACUUCACGUGCGCCGAGGCCGCCUCGGAGGCGGGGUCUGGUUGGGUCGCCUUUUCGAGGGCGCAGGUUGGUGGCUUGUGGGAAGCCACGACACAGUUUUAAUUGUUGGAGCCAACUACUGAGCGGCGUCUCUUUUUCACCCGGGCGCCGUCGCGCCUGUCCGGAAGCCUGGAGCGUGGGCGCGCGGACAAAGCUACCACCCAAAAGUUUUGGCGACUGGCUGGAGUCUUCCUGGCGCAGAAUGAGUGCACGGAGCCCUCGCCGGGGCUGUUUGGCAUCCGGAAUCUACUUGCUGUCUUCGGUGGCACCGAGCAGCCGCUUCCCGGGCGGUUUUGGUCACGGCUGCUCUUGCAGAGUUUUCUUUCAGGGGAAAACACUUCUUUCCCACAUCAGAUGUUUCUUGAAGUAUGGAGUGGGUGCCACUACCAUAACUCUCAAUACUCUAUUCCAGUGCUCCUAGCAAGUUUCCUGAUGUGCAUUCUGGGAACAAAAUCUACACUUUACCAGUGACUCCAGGAGAUCCCACAAAAGAGGUGAACAUUGUAUUGGAGAAGUGACCUUAUGAAGGUGGGAGCAGAAAGUGGGAGCAGGACUGCCCUGACUGCUGACUUCUUAUCCAAGGAGGAUAAUCAUCUCCCAAGUUGAUCUCAGUGGUUUUAGGUGUACAAUAUAGUGAUUCAGCAAUUGUAUAUAUUACUCAAUGAUCAUGAUGGUAAGUGUACUCUUAAUCCCCUUCACCUAUUUCACCCAUCACCCCACCACCUCCCCUCUGGCAACCACCAGUUGGUUCUCUAUGUUUAAGAGUUUGUUUUGGGGGUGCCUGGGUGGCUCAGUCGUUAAGCGUCUGCCUUCGGCUCAGGUCAUGAUCCCAGGGUCCUGGGAUCGAGUCCCGCAUCGGGCUCCCUGCUCAGCGGGAAGCCUGCUUCUCCCUCUCCCACUCCCCUUGCUUGUGUUCCCUCUCUCGGUGUCUCUCUCUCUGCCAAAUAAAUAAAUAAAAUCUUUAAAAAAAAAAAAAAGUGUUUGUUUUGUUUUCCUCUUUUUUUUCUUUGUUCAUUUGUUUUGAUUCUUAAAUUCCACAUAUGUGUGAAAUCACAUGGUAUUUGUCUUGUUCUGACUGAUUUAUUUCACUUAGCAUUAUAUCCUCUUCAUCUAUCCAUGCUGUUGCAAAUGGCAAGAAAACAAAAGUUAAAGGAAUUCAUCACCACUGAACCAAUCUUACAAGAAAUGUUAAAGGGGAUUUUUUGAGUGGAAAGGAAAGACCAUAAGCAGGACUAAGAAAAGUGGGAAAGGGAAAAAUUUCACAGGUACAUAUAAACAUAAUAAAAGUAGUAGAUUAAUC